rnacentral:rRNA from 1 species
GAUGAACGCUGGCGGCGUGCCUAAUACAUGCAAGUCGAGCGAAGCGGGGACGGGUGAGUAACACGUGGAUAACCUCCUAUAAGACUGGGAUAACUUCGGGAAACCGGAGCUAAACCCGAUCCUUAUACAUGGAUCCUCGCUGCAUUAGCUAGUUGGUAAGGUAACGGCUUACCAAGGCAACUAUGCAUAGCCGACCUGAGAGGGUGAUCGGCCACACUGGAACUGAGACACGGUCCAGACUCCUACGGUAGGCAGCAGUAGGGAAUCUUCCGCAAGGGGCGAAAGCCUGACAGAGCAACGCCGCGUGAGUGAUGAAGGUCUUCGGAUCGUAAAACACUGUUAUUAGGGAAGCGGGACCUAAACAGAAAGCCACGGCUAACUACGUGCCAGCAGCCGCGGUAAUUG